UAAAUAGUGGCCAUCUGAGCAUCCCAGAAUCGCGUACCUGUUAUCUCCUUUCGGUCACCUGACUUCCCCCGGUGUUGCAGAGAUCACCCGUGGAUUACCUUCCUGAAGCCUCCAUCGUGGCUGGUCGUAGCUGCAGAAGCCUCCUAUGAGCCACUCUGU